GGGUCCGUGUAUAUUUUGGUAAUUGGAUUUUCCGUUCUAAAGCAGGUAUUGAAAAACAAAAAACGAGUGGUUAUUUGAUUUUCGUUUUCAAAGGCAAAAAUCAAAAUUGAAAUACAAGGCGUUUUUCCUUUUCACGAUCAAAAAUGGAUAUACGAAUUUUAAAAAAUGCUUUGAUUUUCAUUUUUUAUUUACGAUAACAAAAAAUAAAAUAAGUAAGAGACAGAAACGAAAAAAGGUCCGUUUUAUCGUUUUCUGAGACCGGAAGUGGUCAUCAGCAAGGGUGGAGCUAAACAGAGUACGGUGGAUAGACUGUAAAUAAAUGGGUUUUUUUUUGUUUGUUUUCAUGAUCUAAAUGAAAGAUGAAGUGGCCGAUCUUAAAAUAAAUCAAUAUCGAUUUUUUUAUUUAUUAAGUUUUGCGACGCAAGGGGGCGUGGUUACCUGAUUGGCAGUUCGUCUAGAAUGACUGACAGUCUGGAGGAUUAAUUCUGAUAUGGUCACUGGUGGUUUAUCGGUGAAGAAGCAGAACCUUUUCCACAGACACUUUUCCUGCCUGUUGGCUUGUUUUAACCAUUUUGCUACCUUCGGCUGAUUCUACCAGCAGACACUGAAAGUUCGGUGUCUCAUGUUCACUGUGAGGAUCUUCUGAGUGAAGCCACCAGAAGGAAACCCUCAUCUGGUUGUGAAGAAGGAGACUGAAUGGACGACAUCCUCAGUGAACCACUUCCUGUUUAGCUUUCACUGACAGAAGGACAGACCAACUCUUUCAGCAGUUUAUUAUUCUCUGUUCUUAUUAUUCACAGAUUCUAUUUAUCACUUUUAACUUCAUCUCUGCUGCUGUAGCAGAAAUACAACAAGGUUUCUGCAGAACAUUAAUAGUCAUUAAGUUGAUUUUGCAGAAAUUAAGGCCUUAAAUGACAUUAAAAAUCAUUAAAUUUGAUUCUCGGUGGCAUUAAAAUUUCUUUCUGCAGUUUUCAAGAAAAUAAUUGACAAUAAUAUAUUUAUAGACUGCGAUUUGUCAGGUAUGUGCAUCUGUGUAAACAUGCCAAAGCAUUGAGAUAAUUGUUCCAGCCGAGUGGGUACAAUUUCUAAAAACUGCAUGUUUUUAAAGUGGCUGGCAGGCUGGACCAGGCUGGGAAAUGGGGAAACACAAAUUCCAGCAAAAAUGGCUCAAAAACGUGGAUUUCAGAGAAUGACUGCAGUCCGUUGGUGUUCAGGGGUGGUUCCCAGAUUCAGAAAUAGUCAAAUGUAGGGUUUUCAUAUAAAAAUCAUCUUUUACAAAAAAAAACAAACCCGUGUAUUUUGAGUUCAUGGUCGUGGCAUUAAAUUUUUACAGUAUAGCAUAAAAAUGGCAUUAAAAAGCAUUAAAUUUGACUGACUGAUAUCUGCAGAAACCCUGUACAAUGUUAUUUAUAGCAGAUAUGCAGCAUUAAAACAUCAACACAUUCAGCUCAAGAGCUUCAUUAUUUCCUUCAUUGCACAUUUAAAAACUGCAUUAUUUAACAAUUGUGAACUGUAAAGAUGUGUAAACACGUAAUAAAUGGAUGAAAUAAAUAAUGUGUUGCUGACA